rnacentral:rRNA from 1 species
UGGGGAAUUUUGGACAAUGGGCGAAAGCCUGAUCCAGCAAUGCCGCGUGUGUGAAGAAGGCCUUCGGGUUGUAAAGCACUUUUGUCCGGAAAGAAAUCCUUGGCUCUAAUACAGUCGGGGGAUGACGGUACCGGAAGAAUAAGCACCGGCUAACUACGUGCCAGCAGCCGCGGUAAUACGUAGGGUGCAAGCGUUAAUCGGAAUUACUGGGCGUAAAGCGUGCGCAGGCGGUUUGCUAAGACCGAUGUGAAAUCCCCGGGCUCAACCUGGGAACUGCAUUGGUGACUGGCAGGCUAGAGUAUGGCAGAGGGGGGUAGAAUUCCACGUGUAGCAGUGAAAUGCGUAGAGAUGUGGAGGAAUACCGAUGGCGAAGGCAGCCCCCUGGGCCAAUACUGACGCUCAUGCACGAAAGCGUGGGGAGCAAACAGGAUUAGAUACCCUGGUAGUCCACGCCCUAAACGAUGUCAACUAGUUGUUGGGGACUUCAUUUCCUUAGUAACGUAGCUAACGCGUGAAGUUGACCGCCUGGGGGAGUACGGUCGCAAGAUUAAAACUCAAAUGAAUUGACGGGGUCAUAGCUGUUUCC